rnacentral:pre_miRNA from 1 species
UUUUCGUUUUUCCGUGUCCAACAUUUGAUCAUUUGUCUUAUUUAAAAUUUAAUGCGAUUAAUAUUUUUAUUAUUACUAAAUUAUACUUUAUACAUGACUAAUUUUUUUUAAGUUUUUUAUAAAUUUUUUAAUAAGACGAAUGGUCAGACGUUGGAUAUGGAAAA